AUCGAACGCUGGCGGCAGGCCUAACACAUGCAAGUCGAACGAGUGGCGGACGGGUGAGUAAUGUCUGGGUAACUGCUUGAUGGAGGGGGAUAACUACUGGAACCGGUAGCUAAUACCGCAUACCAUCAGAUGUGCACAGAUGGGAUUAGCCUGUUGGUGGGGUAACGGGUCACAAAGGCGACGAUCCCUAGCUGGUCUAAGAGGCUGACCGGACACGCUGGAACCAAGACACGGUCCCAACACCUUCGGGAGGAAUCAUUAAGGAAUGAUGGACAAGGGUAACAGGACUAACGGAGCCAAGGCGCGUGUAUAAGGAGAGCAUUCGGGUUGUAAAGUACUUUCAUCAGGGAGGCGUUACCCAGAGAAAGAGCACCGGCUAACUCCGUGCCAGCGGCCGCGGUAAUUC
rnacentral:rRNA from 1 species